rnacentral:tRNA from 1 species
AGGGGUGUCGCCAAGCGGUAAGGCACUGGAUUUUGAUUCCAGCAUUUCGUAGGUUCAAAUCCUGCCACCCCUGCCA